GACGAACGCUGGCGGCGUGCUUAACACAUGCAAGUCGAACGGAAAGGCCCUGCUUUUGUGGGGUGCUCGAGUGGCGAACGGGUGAGUAACACGUGAGUAACCUGCCCUUGACUUUGGGAUAACUUCAGGAAACUGGGGCUAAUACCGGAUAGGAGCUCCUGCUGCAUGGUGGGGGUUGGAAAGUUUCGGCGGUUGGGGAUGGACUCGCGGCUUAUCAGCUUGUUGGUGGGGUAGUGGCUUACCAAGGUUUUGACGGGUAGCCGGCCUGAGAGGGUGACCGGCCACAUUGGGACUGAGAUACGGCCCAGACUCCUCCGGGAGGCAACAGUGGGGAAUAUUGCACAAUGGGCGGAAGCCUGCAGCAGAAACGCCGCGUGCGGGAUGACGGCCUUCGGGUUGUAAACCGCUUUCGACUGUGACGAAGCGUGAGUGACGGUAAUGGGUAAAGAAGCACCGGCUAACUACGUG
rnacentral:rRNA from 1 species